AGGAGCUACUGCAUCCGCCGCCGCGCGGCGCUCUGCAAACCCUGAAAGUGCCCGCGGCCGCGCCUGCCGGGUUCCCAGGGCUCCUGCGAGAUCCACACUGAAGAAUGGAUGCUGGGGGCUCGGAAGGUGCGGAAGAGAUGGGAGAUAAGGAUGUGUGGAACAAGGCACCCUACGUGGGACGAGGUGGCCGAGUGGUUAAGGCGAUGGACUGCUAAUCCAUUGUGCUUUGCACGCGUGGGUUCGAAUCCCAUCCUCGUCGGUCGCGUUUUACACGGCGUGAGGGGUGUACUUUUCUGCUUUCCUAUAGGAAAGGGGCCAGAGGUUCAGAGGCACCCAGAAGACCCGAAUUGGAAUUCUGGCUGAUGCCAGACUUGUGACCACUAUGUCAUCUGCAGUAAUUAGGCCCCUCGGGAGGUGCCACCGUAGUGUCCAAAGUAGUGGCAUUUGGAAGUGGCCUAUCUCAGUACUUGCCACAUAGAGCUCCCUCCAAGCGUUUGCUGAUGGCAGCUGGCUGCUUCUGAGGGAAUCUGGGCCUGCUGGCAGAGCCGUGUCCGGCUGGGGAGGUGGCAGUGCCCGGAGGACUGGAAUCAGGAGAGGAAGGAGCAGGUGCAGCCCAUCAGUCCCAGUAUUUGUUUCCAGCAUCGGAAGCCAGCUACAUACUGAUCUAAUGGGCAAGUUGGGCCGGGUCUGCCGGGAAGGAGGAUGGGAAGGUUGUGACAUCAUAAGGACCUCUGAGGGGUGAGUGUCCUCUUUCAGUGCCCUCUUUCUGGGCCUCUUUCUGGGUGUUGGGUUCAACAGACAACGGUCUGUGAAGGUGGCGAAGGAGAAGGGGGUCAGGAAGUGUGUGGUCCUGUCCUGACAUUUCCCAGUCCAAGGGUACGGCUAGACCUGGUGGUCCGUGCUGGUACCUCCAGGACCACAACCACCGUCUGGUGGAUCCAGUCUGUACUCCAGCCCCAGCCUCU